rnacentral:rRNA from 1 species
AACCCAGACCGCCAGCUAAGGUCCCAAAGUCAUGGUUAAGUGGGAAACGAUGUGGGAAGGCCCAGACAGCCAGGAUGUUGGCUUAGAAGCAGCCAUCAUUUAAAGAAAGCGUAAUAGCUCACUGGUCGAGUCGGCCUGCGCGGAAGAUGUAACGGGGCUAAACCAUGCACCGAAGCUGCGGCAGCGACGCUUAUGCGUUGUUGGGUAGGGGAGCGUUCUGUAAGCCUGCGAAGGUGUGCUGUGAGGCAUGCUGGAGGUAUCAGAAGUGCGAAUGCUGACAUAAGUAACGAUAAAGCGGGUGAAAAGCCCGCUCGCCGGAAGACCAAGGGUUCCUGUCCAACGUUAAUCGGGGCAGGGUGAGUCGACCCCUAAGGCGAGGCCGAAAGGCGUAGUCGAUGGGAAACAGGUUAAUAUUCCUGUACUUGGUGUUACUGCGAAGGGGGGACGGAGAAGGCUAUGUUGGCCGGGCGACGGUUGUCCCGGUUUAAGCGUGUAGGCUGGUUUUCCAGGCAAAUCCGGAAAAUCAAGGCUGAGGCGUGAUGACGAGGCACUACGGUGCUGAAGCAACAAAUGCCCUGCUUCCAGGAAAAGCCUCUAAGCAUCAGGUAACAUCAAAUCGUACCCCAAACCGACACAGGUGGUCAGGUAGAGAAUACCAAGGCGCUUGAGAGAACUCGGGUGAAGGAACUAGGCAAAAUGGUGCCGUAACUUCGGGAGAAGGCACGCUGAUAUGUAGGUGAAGUCCCUUGCGGAUGGAGCUGAAAUCAGUCGAAGAUACCAGCUGGCUGCAACUGUUUAUUAAAAACACAGCACUGUGCAAACACGAAAGUGGACGUAUACGGUGUGACGCCUGCCCGGUGCCGGAAGGUUAAUUGAUGGGGUCAGCGCAAGCGAAGCUCUUGAUCGAAGCCCCGGUAAACGGCGGCCGUAACUAUAACGGUCCUAAGGUAGCGAAAUUCCUUGUCGGGUAAGUUCCGACCUGCACGAAUGGCGUAAUGAUGGCCAGGCUGUCUCCACCCGAGACUCAGUGAAAUUGAACUCGCUGUGAAGAUGCAGUGUACCCGCGGCAAGACGGAAAGACCCCGUGAACCUUUACUAUAGCUUGACACUGAACAUUGAGCCUUGAUGUGUAGGAUAGGUGGGAGGCUUUGAAGUGUGGACGCCAGUCUGCAUGGAGCCGGCCUUGAAAUACCACCCUUUAAUGUUUGAUGUUCUAACGUGGACCCGUGAUCCGGGUUGCGGACAGUGUCUGGUGGGUAGUUUGACUGGGGCGGUCUCCUCCUAAAGAGUAACGGAGGAGCACGAAGGUUGGCUAAUCCUGGUCGGACAUCAGGAGGUUAGUGCAAUGGCAUAAGCCAGCUUGACUGCGAGCGUGACGGCGCGAGCAGGUGCGAAAGCAGGUCAUAGUGAUCCGGUGGUUCUGAAUGGAAGGGCCAUCGCUCAACGGAUAAAAGGUACUCCGGGGAUAACAGGCUGAUACCGCCCAAGAGUUCAUAUCGACGGCGGUGUUUGGCACCUCGAUGUCGGCUCAUCACAUCCUGGGGCUGAAGUAGGUCCCAAGGGUAUGGCUGUUCGCCAUUUAAAGUGGUACGCGAGCUGGGUUUAGAACGUCGUGAGACAGUUCGGUCCCUAUCUGCCGUGGGCGCUGGAGAACUGAGGGGGGCUGCUCCUAGUACGAGAGGACCGGAGUGGACGCAUCACUGGUGUUCGGGUUGUCAUGCCAAUGGCACUGCCCGGUAGCUAAAUGCGGAAGAGAUAAGUGCUGAAAGCAUCUAAGCACGAAACUUGCCCCGAGAUGAGUUCUCCCUGACCCUUUAAGGGUCCUGAAGGAACGUUGAAGACGACGACGUUGAUAGGCCGGGUGUGUAAGCGCAGCGAUGCGUUGAGCUAACCGGUACUAAUGAACCGUGAGG